rnacentral:rRNA from 1 species
GAUGAACGCUGGCGGCGUGCCUAAUACAUGCAAGUCGAGCGAACAGACGAGGAGCUUGCUCCUCUGACGUUAGCGGCGGACGGGUGAGUAACACGUGGAUAACCUACCUAUAAGACUGGGAUAACUUCGGGAAACCGGAGCUAAUACCGGAUAAUAUAUUGAACCGCAUGGUUCAAUAGUUAAAGACGGUUUUGCUGUCACUUAUAGAUGGACCCGCGCCGCAUUAGCUAGUUGGUAAGGUAACGGCUUACCAAGGCAACGAUGCGUAGCCGCCCUGAGAGGGUGAUGGCCCACACGGGAAGUGAGACACGGCCCAGACUCCUACGGUAGGCCGCAGUAGGGACUCUUCCGCAAUGGGCGAAAGCCUGACGGAGCACCGCCGCGUGAGUGAUGAAGGUCUUCGGAUCGUAAAACUCUGUUAUUAGGGAAGAACAAAUGUGUAAGUAACUAUGCACGUAUUGACGGUACCUAGUCAGAAAGCCCCGGCUAACUACGUG